rnacentral:rRNA from 1 species
UACGGAGGGUGCAAGCGUUAAUCGGAAUUACUGGGCGUAAAGCGUGCGCAGGCGGUUUGUUAAGUCCGUUGUGAAAACCCCGAGCUCAACUUGGGAAUUGCAGUGGAUACUGGCAGGCUGGAGUACGGUAGAGGAAGGUGGAAUUCCCGGUGUAGCAGUGAAAUGCGUAGAGAUCGGGAGGAACAUCAGUGGCGAAGGCGGCCAUCUGGGACAACACUGACGCUGAAGCACGAAAGCGUGGGGAGCAAACAGG